rnacentral:rRNA from 1 species
GACGAACGCUGGCGGCGUGCUUAACACAUGCAAGUCGAACGGAAAGGCUCCAGCUUGCUGGGUUACUCGAGUGGCGAACGGGUGAGUAACACGUGGGUAAUCUGCCCUGCACUCUGGGAUAAGCCUGGGAAACUGGGUCUAAUACUGGAUAUGUCCUGUCUCCUUAUGGGGUUUGUUUGAAAGUUUUUCGGUGUAGGAUGAGCCCGCGGCCUAUCAGCUUGUUGGUGGGGUGAUGGCCUACCGAGGCGCCGACGGGUAGCCGGCCUGAGAGGGUGAUCGGCCACACUGGGACUGAGAUACGGCCCAGACUCCUACGGGAGGCAGCAGUGGGGAAUAUUGCACAAUGGGCGGAAGCCUGAUGCAGCGACGCCGCGUGAGGGAUGACGGCCUUCGGGUUGUAAACCUCUUUCAGCAGGGAAGAAGCGUAAGUGACGGUACCUGCAGAAGAAGCACCGGCUAACUAUGUG